AUUGAACGCUGGCGGCAGGCUUAGCACAUGCAAGUCGAGCGGGGGAAGGUAGCUUGCUACCGGACCUAGCGGCGGACGGGUGAGUAAUGCUUAGGAAUCUGCCUAUUAGUGGGGGACAACAUCUCGAAAGGGAUGCUAAUACCGCAUACGUCCUACGGGAGAAAGCAGGGGAUCACUUGUGACCUUGCGCUAAUAGAUGAGCCUAAGUCGGAUUAGCUAGUUGGUGGGGUAAAGGCCUACCAAGGCGACGAUCUGUAGCGGGUCUGAGAGGAUGAUCCGCCACACUGGGACUGAGACACGGCCCAGACUCCUACGGGAGGCAGCAGUGGGGAAUAUUGGACAAUGGGGGAAACCCUGAUCCAGCCAUGCCGCGUGUGUGAAGAAGGCUUUAUGGUUGUAAAGCACUUUAAGCGAGGAGGAGGCUACUGAGACUAAUGCUCUUGGAUAGUGGACGUUACUCGCAGAAUAAGCACCGGCUAACUCUGUGCCAGCAGCCGCCGUAA
rnacentral:rRNA from 1 species